AAGUCGUAACAAGGUUUCCGUAGGUGAACCUGCGGAAGGAUCAUUACCAAUUUCGGGGACUUCGGUCCCUGUCUGAAACCUUGUCUUUGAGUACUAUUGUUUCUUGGUAGCUUGCUACAAUGGACCCACUUAACUCUUGUAUUCAUGUCGCGUCGAAAACAUAAUAGUUACA
rnacentral:misc_RNA from 1 species